rnacentral:rRNA from 1 species
AUGCAUGAUCAGGUCAGCCUGGACCUGGACGGCUUCCCACUCGACCACGAGUUUCCGGAUGACUACGGGCAAGAGGAAGAGGAUGAGUGCGACAUCGAAGGGGAGCCUUUGUUCGAGGAUGAGCUCGCCAACCAAGCCGCCGGGGCGAAGCCGAAGCGCAAGAGCAAGCGGACGAAGGCAUACACGGCGGCCGAGGACAAGCUCCUUUGUGAGUGUUGGAGGGACAUUGGGCAAGACCCCAAGACCGGCGCCGAACAAAAGGCAUCAACCUUUUGGAUUCGUGUCCACCGUGAGUUCCAUGAGCGCAAGAAGUUUCCGCCGUACCAAAUACUAAGCACGCGCGGGUGGGUGUCUAUUUCGAAGUGA